rnacentral:rRNA from 1 species
UACGGAGGAUGCAAGCGUUAUCCGGAAUUAUUGGGCGUAAAGCGUCCGUAGGUGGCUAAUCAAGUCUGCUGUCAAAGCGUGGAGCUUAACUCCAUACCGGCGGUGGAAACUGUUGAGCUAGAGUGCGAUAGGGGUAGCAGGAAUUCCCAGUGUAGCGGUGAAAUGCGUAGAGAUUGGGAAGAACACCAGCGGCGAAAGCGUGCUACUGGGUCUGCACUGACACUGAGGGACGAAAGCUAGGGGAGCGAAAGGG